CAAUAGACUACCCGGGUAGUCCACGCCGUAAACGAUGGAUACUAGCUGUAUUCGGUAUCGACCCCGGAUGUAGCGAAGCUAACGCGUUAAGUAUCCCGCCUGUGGGAGUACGGUCGCAAGACUAAAACAUAAAGGAAUUGACGGGGACCCGCACAAGCGGUGGAGCGUGUUGUUUAAUUCGAUGAUAAGCGAAGAACCUUACCAGGGCUUGACAUCCUCAGAAGCACUUCGAAAGAAGCGUGUGCCUUCGGGAACUGAGUGACAGGUGCUGCAUGGCCGUCGUCAGCUCGUGUCGUGAGAUGUUUGGUUAAGUCCAUCAACGAGCGCAACCCUUGUGAUUAGUUGAAUUUUUCUAAUCAGACCGCCCUGGCAACGGGGGAGGAAGGAGGGGAUGAUGUCAGGUCAGUAUUGCCCUUACGUCCUGGGCUACAAACACGCUACAAUGGCCGGUACAAAGGGCAGCCAAGUCGCGAGACGGAGCAAAUCCCAUCAAAGCCGGUCCCAGUUCGGAUAGCAGGCUGAAACUCGCCUGCUUG
rnacentral:rRNA from 1 species